UACAGAGGUCUCAAGCGUUGUUCGGAUUCAUUGGGCGUAAAGGGUGCGUAGGCGGCGCGGUAAGUCGGGUGUGAAAUCUGGCCGCUUAACGGCCAGGCGCCAUCCCAUACGGCUCGACUGGAGUGAUGCAGAGGUCGAUGGAAUUGCCGGUGUAGUGGUGAAAUGCGUAGAGAUCGGCAGGAACACCCAGGGGGAAACCAGUCGACUGGGCAUCUACUGACGCUGAGGUGCGAGAGCGUGGGGAGCGAACCGG
rnacentral:rRNA from 1 species